GAAUACGCCUAUUCCCACAUUCAAAUAAUAACAUUAAAUACUAUUAAAUAAUACUAUCGAUAUAUUAAGUAUUAUUAUGUAAAGUUAGUCUGGUCACACUUGAGGUGUCCACUUCCUCUUUCCUUUCUGAUCUCGAAUCGAAUGUACGUGGUACCGUUGUUGCAGUGAAAAAACAACCAACUUGCUGACAUCUUCACGAAGCCACUACCUGCUGGAAGAUUUCCGGAACUGCGGAACAAAUUAGGACUACUACAAGAAGAAUGAUUCCAAUUUAAUGAAAACAUGAACAUGAAGCUUUAUUAACGAUUUUAUUACAUUAAUUCAUAUAUUUUUUUUUGAUUUGAACCAAAAGAACCAAUGAAUUGUUAAAGUAAUUUAAUUUUAUGUUAAUCUAAUUUUAAAGUGAUCUGAUCGGGUUUUUCUGGGUUUUCCCCGUAUCCUUAGAGCAAAUGCUAGAUCACAUAACACUUCCCAGAAUGCACACCAACCACAUUAGAAUAACAAUUGAAUGUUACCUUUUUGAUUUAAUGAUGAAAACAUUUUUUUUUAUUUUUAUGAUUUUGAUGAUUAAUGUUAUUUUUGAGGGGGGCGUGUUGGAAUACGCCUAUUCCCACAUUCAAAUAAUAACAUUAAAUACUAUUAAAUAAUACUAUCGAUA